CUGGCAUAUGAUGAGAAGCAGGACAAGAAUACCUGCAGCGUUCCUGAUCCAAAUCAGGGAUGCAAUAGCAUGAUGACUCCGUCUAGGGGAAUCUCUGAUGCAAA
rnacentral:snoRNA from 1 species